UACGUAGGAGGCGAGCGUUGUCCGGAUUUACUGGGCGUAAAGCGCGCGCAGGCGGCACUUCAAGUAAGGUGUGAAAUCUCCCUGCUCAACGGGGAGGGUGCACUUUAGACUGAGGAGCUAGAGGACGGUAGAGGGGGGUGGAAUUGCUGGUGUAGCGGUGAAAUGCGUAGAGAUCAGCAGGAACACCCGUGGCGAAGGCGGCCCCCUGGGCCGUACCUGACGCUGAGGCGCGAAGGCUAGGGGAGCGAACGGGAUUAGAAACCCCCGUAGUCC
rnacentral:rRNA from 1 species